GAUGAACGCUGGCGGCGUGCCUAAUACAUGCAAGUCGAGCGAACGGACGAGAAGCUUGCUUCUCUGAUGUUAGCGGCGGACGGGUGAGUAACACGUGGAUAACCUACCUAUAAGACUGGGAUAACUUCGGGAAACCGGAGCUAAUACCGGAUAAUAUUUUGAACCGCAUGGUUCAAAAGUGAAAGACGGUCUUGCUGUCACUUAUAGAUGGAUCCGCGCUGCAUUAGCUAGUUGGUAAGGUAACGGCUUACCAAGGCAACGAUGCAUAUCCGACCUGAGAGGGUGAUCGGCCACACUGGAACUGAGACACGGUCCAGACUCCUACGGGAGGCAGCAGUAGGGAAUCUUCCGCAAUGGGCGAAAGCCUGACGGAGCACCGCCGCGUGAGUGAUGAAGGUCUUCGGAUCGUAAAACUCUGUUAUUAGGGAAGAACAUAUGUGUAAGUAACUGUGCACAUCUUGACGGUACCUAAUCAGAAAGCCACGGCUAACUACGUG
rnacentral:rRNA from 1 species